UGUGUUUCCUCCAUGUAAGCUGUGGAAAGAAGGGAGAAGCCAAGUAUUUUUCAGUGAAGACGAAAACAAUUGUCUCAGUCUUUGUCAAAAGAGAUGGUUUUGCAGGUCCAGGGUACUUCAUUGAGACUGUAUUCUAGAUGAACAGGAAACUGACUGAAGAAAUGGGUGUCCUUCCAGAUUCUUGGACACUUCAGAUGACUCCUACUGGACAUUCUCAGGUAGACCAGCAACAGGAGCUCUUGUGACCAGGCCAAUUGCAAAUGAAGUCACUUGUUAACCAAUGCCAACGAAAA